CUUUUGCUCCUGUGAGGAUGGCCCCAUGCAGACCUGUUUCCCAGGUAGCAGUCCCAAGAGCAGCAGGUUUUGGACAAUGGUCAUGAAUAUCUUUUAUCUGACAGGCACUCUGCUCUAGGAUGCUGGAGAAGUGAGACUUUUAUUUGCCAGUGAAGACUCAAUAUAGCAACAAAAGAACAAAGAGAUGUGAUAGUCUUCCUCCAGGGGCCAGUUUUCUUCUGGAUGAAUGCAUUUGGUCAUCAAGAAUGUCUCAAGACUUUCAAUGGCCUUAUUUUAUACUACCUCAGGCCUCUCAUCUGCAUUCACAGACUUCAAAUAUGUAUAACCAGUAUAACAUUUUUGAAAUACUUUCCAACAUGUUUCCUUGUACCUCAUACCUCUUCUGCAUUUCAGCUUCAUUGAAACAGAGAGGACAGGUGCUACUUGUGAAAAAGGAGAAUAUAACAAGGAAAAAUCCUCUCCUUCCCCUUGGAGGUCUGAAGAAGAAAGGACAUAGAGACAGGGCAGUAGGCAGUCAUGUGUGUGCUUAGAACUCCGUACUCCAAGGUGAUAAGUUAAAUCUGAAGAGAGGAAGGUGACCAACAGAGUUAGGAAGACACAGUGCCAUGGUCAGGUUGAGAGAAGGACUUCUAAGUAGCCUUCAGUUCCCAUGUGUCAUAGACUCUGAAUAGAGAGCCACAGGGCCUUCCUGGAGACAGGAUAACCCCACAGCCUUCUCCAGAAACCCUUUAGAGGACUUACAGAGACUCAGAGGGAUCUACAGAGUCAGUAAGGAUCAAAAGGAGGCCAGACAAUGGAGGGAAAGCUCUUGACCAUGGCAGAGCUGUGAAACCUAUCACAAAUUUAUCAGCUGCAGAAUGUCUAGAGAAGGCGGCCAGCUAGAGCAGAUUCCAGUGAUGCCAGGCAGCACCCACUCAGGGAGAAUCAUGGGGAGACCUUUUCUUUCUGGAUCUGUGAAGAUCUUUCUCCCCAUCUCAGACACCAUCCGAAGAGAGGGCAGAGGUGUAGAGAAGAAAGAAAUAAUACUUCAAAGAGACAGGUUACUCAACUGGACUAAGUUUUGAACCAGACUGCAUUAAAACUAGGGCAGUGGUGGUGGUUGUUUUCAUUACACCAAUCAGGUAGAAUACAAAAGGAUAUCAGAACAAAUUCAGAAAACAUGGAAACUACUUUUUCUGCACACCUCAGUAUAAUGCAAGUAAUUCUGUGAUCCUAAUAUGUAUGAAAUCAUUGAAUAGAUAAAGCUAAGAGGACAACAAAGUAUGGAGUGGUAUGAUGAGUCUAUGAGAAGGUAAAUGAUUUUCAGACAAUUCAAAUUCUCUAGCGAAUUUGUUGUCACAAAAUACACUGUAAUUAAACUGCAUUGGCCUUGGGCAAAA
rnacentral:lncRNA from 1 species